GUCUACGGCCAUACCACCCUGAACGUGCCCGAUCUCGUCUGAUCUCGGAAGCUAAGCAGGGUCGGGCCUGGUUAGUACUUGGAUGGGAGAAGGGGAAAGGAGAGGGAGAAA
rnacentral:rRNA from 1 species